ACACCAUGAGAUGAAGUGAUUGGGCCUACAUGCCAAUAGCUGGGCUCUGGAAAGUCCCCGGGCCAAUUACCGCAGAGAUGCGGACCUGGAAACGGGUAAGAUUUGGGCUUGGAAUUUGUUCGCUCUCCUGGGCGAUGGGCUGAGACGAGUGCGGAGCCCAAUAAUCCUCGAGCCCAAGUUACCUUGGCCGUUACCAACAGUCAUUCGCUGAUCCUUGAUGGAUCGACCUCAAUUAACAUAACGGGGCUUACAUUCUCAUGGUG
rnacentral:RNase_MRP_RNA from 1 species